rnacentral:lncRNA from 1 species
AACCUUAACCCAGCCCCGAAUCUCUAAACCCUAAAUCACUAACUCUUAACCUCUAAGCUCUAACCCCUAACUACUAACCCCUAAACCUUAUUUAAUAUAUAAAUUAAAAAACACUAAUUAAUCUAAACCCUAAACCCUAACUCAAAUCACUACCCCUAACCCCUAAACAUUAUUUAAUAUAAAUUAAAGCACACUAAUUAAUCUAAACCUUAAAUCCUAACCUAACACCG